rnacentral:rRNA from 1 species
GAUGAACGCUGGCGGCGUGCCUAAUACAUGCAAGUCGAGCGAACAGACGAGGAGCUUGCACCUCUGACGUUAGCGGCGGACGGGUGAGUAACACGUGGAUAACCUACCUAUAAGACUGGGAUAACUUCGGGAAACCGGAGCUAAUACCGGAUAAUAUAUUGAACCGCAUGGUUCAAUAGUGAAAGACGGUUUUGCUGUCACUUAUAGAUGGAUCCGCGCCGCAUUAGCUAGUUGGUAAGGUAACGGCUUACCAAGGCGACGAUGCGUAGCCGACCUGAGAGGGUGAUCGGCCACACUGGAACUGAGACACGGUCCAGACUCCUACGGGAGGCAGCAGUAGGGAAUCUUCCGCAAUGGGCGAAAGCCUGACGGAGCAACGCCGCGUGAGUGAUGAAGGUCUUCGGAUCGUAAAACUCUGUUAUUAGGGAAGAACAAAUGUGUAAGUAACUAUGCACGUCUUGACGGUACCUAAUCAGAAAGCCACGGCUAACUACGUG